UACGUAGGGUGCGAGCGUUAAUCGGAAUUACUGGGCGUAAAGCGUGCGCAGGCGGUUCGUUGUGUCGGCGGUGAAAGCCCCGGGCUUAACCUGGGAAUGGCCGUCGAAACUGGCGAACUGGAGUGUGGCAGAGGGGGGUGGAAUUCCGCGUGUAGCAGUGAAAUGCGUAGAGAUGCGGAGGAACACCGAUGGCGAAGGCAGCCCCCUGGGCUGACACUGACGCUGAGGAGCGAAAGCGUGGGGAGCGAACAGG
rnacentral:rRNA from 1 species